rnacentral:rRNA from 1 species
CACAAGUGAGACUAGUGUUAUUCAUCUUUAUUAGGUUUAAAGGGUACCUAGACGGUAUUUCCAGCCUGUAUAAGGUACAGAAAUACUAGAGUUUUAUUUGAGAGGUAAAUAUUAGGACUAUUGGUGUAAAGAUGAAAUUUUUUGAUACUAAUGGGACGGAUAACGGCGAAGGCAAUCCUCUAUGUAUAAACUGACGUUAAGGGACGAAGGCUUGGGGAGCGAAUAGG